ensembl:lncRNA
UUUUAUGUGAAUGUUCUUAAAGAAAAUAUCAGAAGUUUUACUGAUAUGUAUGUAAUCAUUUUAGAUAUUUUUAGGAUUUUUUGGAAGAUUUUUACUCAUUUUUUGAAAAUAUUUACAAGAAUUUUCUUGCCAAAUUUGGGAGAUUUUUUAAAAUACAACUUUUAAGGGAAAUUUUUUAAGAAAUUAUUGGAAUUUUCUUCCUGAAGGUUUUGCAAAUUUUCCGAAAUUUGGGGAAUUUUUUUGAUGAAUUUUUGCAUUUUUUUCAGACAGGGAAACAAUAAUUUUUGGUGCCCGUAAAUGAGGACAACAGGAGGGUUAAUAAAUGUAGCGAAUUGUGCACGUAUAACAACACAACAGCGGUGCUUUCAGUCUACUUUGCAGCUUCUUGUAGUUGAUUUAAGCUCUAAAACAAAACUAUUUUAAAUUAUUCAUGUUGGAAUCGAGAGGAAGGGGUUCGCCAUGUUAGAACAAAGUGGGGAAUUCAAUCUAUAUUUUGGAAUUUAAUGAACCAAAUUGUGCCCUUACAUCCAUGCAUCUUUACAGAAUCAGUCAGUGGCUCUUAAGUAUGCAGGCCAGCUGCUUUAUUGAGUCUUUUUUAGCCACUUUUAUCCUGAAAAAAUAAAAUCUCCACCUUCUAAAAAGCCUAAAUCACUUCACAGUGAUGUCGAAUCCCAUUGAAACAAAGAAAUGAGCUCAGAUUCUAUUCUGAUGUAAAGCUAUGAUUAAAAAAAGUCACAGUUUUGGGGUGAAACCUUCCGUGUGGAUGUUUGGUAUUUGUGGCUGUGUUCAGUUUUAUGCAGUUGUGGAAGUAGAACUUGUUGGGUUUGGCUGAAGUCGUGUCUAUAUGUUAGCGUGUUCGUUCCGUCUACCUCUUCCAAAGGACCUAGCCAUGAAUAUCUGUGUUUAAGAACGGAAAUAAUACAAACUGUCUUUAAAUUGUCAUUAUUUUUUCUAUUUAUUGUGGUAAAUCAUAUUUUAAAGAACAGUAUUUUUGUACCGUGAAUCAUCUGAAAUGUGUUUUUGAAAUUUGUAUUUUGGGUAGAAUUAUUUUUUAUUUAAAUGUUGAAUUGAUCUAUGCAAGAAAUCAAAGAAAAAUGAUGACAAAAUGGUGCAAUAUAGCGGUUAAAUUUACAUUUAAUGUAACUCUAACCUUCUUUUUGUGGAAGUGUUGUUUCUGAUGUUGUUAAUAUUAAAAUGAAAAAUAUUUUUGUGUGGCAAACUGUGA